AGUGGCGGACGGGUGAGUAACGCGUGAGAAUCUGCCUUGGAGUCGGGGACAACCACUGGAAACGGUGGCUAAUACCGGAUAAGCCGAUUGGUGAAAGAUUUAUUGCCCGAAGAGGAGCUCGCGUCUGAUUAGCUAGUUGGUGAGGUAAGAGCUCACCAAGGCAGCGAUCAGUAGCUGGUCUGAGAGGACGAUCAGCCACACUGGGACUGAGACACGGCCCAGACUCCUACGGGAGGCAGCAGUGGGGAAUUUUCCGCAAUGGGCGAAAGCCUGACGGAGCAAGACCGCGUGAGGGAGGAAGGCUCUUGGGUUGUAAACCUCUUUUCUCAGGGAAGAAGCUCUGACGGUACCUGAGGAAUCAGCCUCGGCUAACUCCGUGCCAGCAGCCGCGGUAAUACGGAGGAGGCAAGCGUUAUCCGGAAUUAUUGGGCGUAAAGCGUCCGCAGGUGGCGAUUCAAGUCUGCUGUCAAAGCACGGGGCUUAUCUCCGUAAAGGCAGUGGAAACUGAAUAGCUAGAGUGCCGUAGGGGUAGAGGGAAUUCCCGGUGUAGCGGUGAAAUGCGUAGAGAUCGGGAAGAACAUCGGUGGCGAAAGCGCUCUACUGGACGGCAACUGACACUCAGGGACGAAAGCUAGGGGAGCGAAUGGGAUUAGAUACCCC
rnacentral:rRNA from 1 species